rnacentral:rRNA from 1 species
GAUGAACGCUGGCGGCGUGCCUAAUACAUGCAAGUCGAGCGAACGGACGAGAAGCUUGCUUCUCUGAUGUUAGCGGCGGACGGGUGAGUAACACGUGGAUAACCUACCUAUAAGACUGGGAUAACUUCGGGAAACCGGAGCUAAUACCGGAUAAUAUUUUGAACCGCAUGGUUCAAAAGUGAAAGACGGUCUUGCUGUCACUUAUAGAUGGAUCCGCGCUGCAUUAGCUAGUUGGUAAGGUAACGGCUUACCAAGGCAACGAUGCAUAGCCUACCUGAGAGGGUGAUAGGCCACACCGGAACCGAGACACGGUCCAGACUCCUACGGGAGGCAGCAGUAGGGAAUCUUACGCAAUGGGCGAAAGCCUGACGGAGCAACGCCGCGUGAGUGAUGAAGGUCUUCGGAUCGUAAAACUCUGUUAUUAGGGAAGAACAUAUGUGUAAGUAACUGUGCACAUCUUGACGGUACCUAAUCAGAAAGCCACGGCUAACUACGUG